GACAGAGGGGGCAAGCGUUGCUCGGAAUUACUGGGCGUAAAGGGCGCGUAGGCGGGAUGGCAAGUCGGUCGUGAAAUCCCUCGGCUCAACCGAGGAACGUCGAUCGAUACUGCUGUUCUUGAGGAUUGCAGAGGAGACUGGAAUUCCCGGUGUAGCGGUGAAAUGUGUAGAGAUCGGGAGGAACGACCGGUGGCGAAGGCGGUUCUCUGGGCAUGUCCUGGACGCUGAGGAGCGAAAGUGUGGGGAGCGAACAGG
rnacentral:rRNA from 1 species